CCGGCGUUCCUGCAUUUAGGCCCAUUCCUGCUCGGCAUUUCUGCAUUCCGGGCCCAUUCCUGCCCGGCAUUCCUGCCCGGCAUUCCCGCAUUCCCGGCCCUCGCACCCGCGCGAGGGAAGCCUGCGGAACGCCCCGGGGCUGGCGAUCUCCCUCAUGUCCCUCACGCCACUCCCCGGAGCGCGGGGCUGGAGAAGAAAAGGGAGACUCAUAAUGCCCGUGCUCCUAAAAGGCCAGCUAAUAGUCUUUGUCCACUUCAGAAAAGAGGAGUACCCAGAGUUGUCUGCUAAUGUUCAUCUUUAUGCUGUUGUCCAACCCAUCAAGUAAAUCAACCAAGCUCAGGACUCCUUGCUGAAAGAAGGCAGAGAAAAUUUGGGUUCAGGUCAGUAGCAACUUAGGUACUGUUUAGACACGAUAGCCACU
rnacentral:lncRNA from 1 species